rnacentral:rRNA from 1 species
AACAGAGCCAUAUCACCCUGCAACUCUUGCCUGGCUUCCCACUAAGCUAAGCAGGGUUAAGCCUGGUCAGUACCUGCAUGGGAGCUCUCCUGGGGAAAACUAAGGUUGCUGCUAUUA